rnacentral:rRNA from 1 species
AAUAUUGGUCAAUGGAUGCAAGUCUGAACCAGCCAUGCCGCGUGCAGGAAGAAGGCCUUCUGGGUUGUAAACUGCUUUUGCCAGGGGAUAAAACGAGCAUGCGUGCUUAAUUGAAGGUACCUGGUGAAUAAGCCACGGCUAACUACGUGCCAGCAGCCGCGGUAAUACGUAGGUGGCGAGCGUUGUCCGGAUUUAUUGGGUUUAGAGGGUGCGUAGGCGGCUCUAUAAGUCAGUGCUGAAAUAUCCCGGCUUAACCGGGAGGGUGGCAUUGAUACUGCAGAGCUUGAGUAAAGUUGAGGUGGGCGGAAUUGACGGUGUAGCGGUGAAAUGCUUAGAUAUCGUCAAGAACACCGAUUGCGAAGGCAGCUCACUAAGCUUUAACUGACGCUGAGGCACGAAAGUGUGGGGAUCAAAC